CCUGCAAUGACAAACCCAUGUGUGCAGACCAGGAAUCAGCCUCAAUAAGCUAAUAAUUGCAGAAGAGAAAAGCAGUCCUUCCAGGAAUGUGCCGGGAGAUGUGGAUCUCUGCCUUUUUUUGCCGUGAAAGUAGGCUGGCAAGUGGGGCAAGGUGGACAUCAUCAGUCUCCACGACACUACCAGGAGGAAUACUGUGUGAACGCUGCCAGCUCACCAUGGCUGAUUAGGAUGGUCUCUUCAUCACUCAACCUGACCCCAGCAACACAACAUGGAAAAGCAUCAAUUCAGCUCCUCCUUUUUGUCACAGAAUUUCACAAAGGGCUGGUAAGCAACAGUAGGAUGGGUUGACCCUGUCCAGGCAAGUGGAAGCAUAACGUUUGCUGUCAAUACUUUUCAUGAGAACUGAAUUGCAGCUUUUUCUCUCCCCGUCUCUCCCUUUCAGUUCUCCUUUGCCUUUGGAAAGUGCAACAGCAAGGAGACGAAUUGCCUGAUUGUGUGCUCCUCUUUCCCCCAACAUGCUGCACCAACAGCAGGGCUGGGGGAUGGAAAAGGAGCCCAGCUGCUUCUUGUGGGCUGUUCUCUCUCCACCCACCAGACACUUUAAAUCAGACGCAAAUUAACACCAACUCCUGGCAUCCUUUAUUAAUCGG
rnacentral:lncRNA from 1 species